rnacentral:rRNA from 1 species
AGCGAACGCUGGCGGCAGGCCUAACACAUGCAAGUCGAGCGGCCGUAGCAAUACGGCAGCGGCAGACGGGAGAGUAACACGUGGGAACGCGCCCUUCGGUUCGGGAUAACUCAGGGAAACUUGGGCUAAUACCGGAUACGCCCUUACGGGGAAAGAUUUAUUGCCGAAGGAACGGCUCGCGUCCGAUUAGCUAGUUGGUGAGGUAACGGCUGACGAAGGCGACGAUCGGUAGCUGGCCUGAGAGGAUGACCAGCCUCACUGGGACUGAGACACGGCCCAGACUCCUACGGGAGGCAGCAGUGGGGAAUAUUGGACAAUGGGCGCAAGCCUGAUCCAGCCAUGCCGCGUGGGUGAUGAAGGCCCUAGGGUUGUAAAGCCCUUUCAGCGGGGAAGAUAAUGACGGUACCCGCAGAAGAAGCCCCGGCUAACUUCGUGCCAGCCGCCGCCGUAA